rnacentral:lncRNA from 1 species
GGAGCCAAACAGAGAGGAAACAGGACAAGAAGGACACACAGGUCCAGAAGAGUGCCACAGAAAUGACCCAAGGGAUGGAACACCUCCCUACAAGGACAAGCUGAGAGAGCUGGGGCUGUUCAGUCUGGAGAAGAGAAGGCUCUGAGGAGACCUAAGGGCAACCUGUCAGUAUCUAAAGGUGGGCUACAAGAAAGAGGGGGACAGACUCUUUAGCGGGGUCUGUUGUGAUAGGAAAAGGGAAAUGGUUUCAAACUAAAAAAGAGGAGGUUUAGGUUGGAUAUAUAUAUAUAUUUUUUACAAUAAGAGCAGUGAAGCACCGGCACAGGUUUUCCAGACAGGUGGUGGAUGCCCCAUCCCUGGAGACAUUCAGAGUCCAUCUGGACAGGGCACUGAGCACCUGAUUGAGCUGUAGGUAUCCAUAGCAAGAGAGUUGGACCAGGCGGCCUUUAAAUCCUACUUCCAGCUCAAGGAAUUCUAUGAUUCUAUGAUUAUUCUCACAGUUUCAGGAACUCUGCCUAUAAGAUGCCUGUGUGCCACCUCAUCUUAUUCUUGCAAUGUGAUCUUCCUGUAUUUUUUACUCAUAACACCUCUCUGCAAGUUUUCAUUAUUUGUUCUUGAGGUAGUACUAAAAAUAUCUCUUUUUUUUCCCCUCUUCCUGAGCACUUUUUUAAAGAGAGCAGUUUUAUUUCUUGCCCUGAACCCAAUCUCGCUGGAGGGGCAGGAAGGAACAUGCUCACCUGUGUGUCCUAUCCCCACUCUCCACUGUCUGCUUUUGUCUCUGGUGCGGUUUCGCUUCUGCUGGAUGACACAUGAAGGCCAUGUGUGGCCCAGCAGACCAUCUGAACACAGAGGUACUUCAGUGGCUCAACUGGGACAUGUCUCUGCACAUCACACAUUCCCUGUUAGGAAUCAGGUCAGUUUGCACCAAACUGGAGAAAAUCCUGAAGUUGCAGAUAGUGCCCUUUGCUACAAGGCUGCCAUCCCUUUUCCCCUUCGAAACAGCUGAAACGUCUGAAAUAGCAGCUGUUGAAUUUAUUUUCCCUUUACACAGCCUCUUUCUAAGGGAAACUGGACUGAUUAGUACCCAUUUGCUGGGUUCUGCUGCAUUAUGACACUAACAUGUGGCAUCAUUUCAAACCAGGUGGGAUUUUCUUUAAAGCAAUCUUUGGUGACAAAAAAAAUAAUAAAAAAUAAGAAAAUGUAGUUUUAGCUAAGCAAAAUGCAUUUUAAUAUGCAUUUCCCACGGCCCUGAUGUGAGAUGUAUCUUCUAAGUGCAGUACAUCACCUCAUGUCAGCAGUUAGACUCGAUGAUCCUUAUGGGUCUCUUCCAACUUGGGAUAUUCUAUGACUCUAUGAUUCUGCUGCUGUGCUCACACACCACAUGCAGCAGCCAUCUGCAGCCUGAGCUUCUCCUCCUGCUCUAUCAUGAUGUCCAUCCGAGCCGGAGCAAUCCCCCAGCCCUACACCUCACAGCCCCAUCACACUGCAUCCCAGUGCACAGCAGUGGAAGGCAAGGGAGGGGCUUCAAAGGCGCUGGUCUCACAAUGGAGUUGGAGUAACUAGCUGCUGACAGAUUUAUAGGCUUCAGUCCAAUUAAAGUGCUGUUUAUUGCUUUUAGAAGGGGCCUGUUUGUUUCUAAUUUUAGAAGUAGGUUGGGGAAGUGACUAGAAUUGUGAGUAAGGGACCUGAGAUUUUUCACUAGGGCUUCUGGUGCUAUUCAUUAAUAGGAGUUGUUGAUAAUUAUUUAGCCUGGGACCUCAACCAACCACGGCAGGGCAGAAAUUCAGGGCAGCACCCAAAAAGCAGCGAAAGGGCUUUCCUUUGCUCCCCCUGCCCUGCUACAUCUGCUGAUUUUGGUGUGUGUUCGACCAGCCACUUUGUAAAGAGCUCCCCUUGUUCCCUAUGCAUCUCUUCCGCUCUCUCAAGUUGAUUCAUUUUAUGUGCUCCUUUUAAAGAGAAUAAAAAGUACGCCGGUGUGAAUGAUUGUUCCUAUCUCUGGCCAGCAGCGAUAGGAACCUUGGGCCAAUUGCCAGAAGGAAGUGGAGAAAUAACAAAUCUUGCCUGCGAGAUGAAAUCAGAGCUGGAAUCGGGAUUCCUGUGUUGUGCCCCUAAGUUUGCGCAGUUUUGCUGUACAGUGGUGGGAAGCCCCUUUGAUGUCAGCUUCCCACUGUCUAGAAAAGCUGCAAUAUAAAGUUAUUGUAAAACUUGGUUAUUUGUUUGUGCGGUACUUUGAGAGCCGCUGGUGAAAGGCGCUGGAUAACUGCGCGGUUCCCUGUGGUUUGUAAAACAUGCGUUGAUCACCAUUUACCAGAAGGCAAUGACAGUGGGUUUUUAACAGAGAGAGGCCCGACCCAGACACAGCACACUCAUGUUUCCAGGUCCUGGGGAAGUUUAUGUCCUGAACGUGCAUCCAAGCCCAGCGCCUGUGCAGAAGGCAGAAGGAAAACCACAUCCCAGUGUGCCAGCCUUGGGAUCGGGAGGUCCCAUCCUCUGCCGUUGGAGUUUGACCUGGAACUGGGGCAUCCCAUAAGAACUCAUCUUAGAUGGAGACAGCCAGAGCCCAGUGAGCCUCACCUUUCCUUCCUCUGCCCUGAGCCAUCUGCAAUAAUCCUUUAGCUGUGGGCCGAAGACAUAAGAAAUAAACUACAAUAAAAAAGAUAAAAGGGAGCAUAAAUUGAUUUCUGUGGUAGCUGAGGCUUGAAGUAUGCCUAAAUAUCACUUAGAUUGCACACUGUUUGGGCCGUGUGCCAUCCUUUUAUUACUUAUCCAUAUACAGGAGAUUUCAUUGAUGAUCUAUUAAAAAUAUAUACCUCUAUUCUGGUUGAAUCUAGAAAUUUUUUAGCUGAAAACAAGAAUAUUUGAGCUGAAACUGCUGUUUUUUGGUGUUUUUUUUUCCCCCAAACUGAAUUUCUUUUCUUUUCAAAAACAAGUAGAGCAAAGUAGGGUGUUUGGUUUUAAGUUCAAUAAAAGCAAUACUUUUCUUCUUCAGGGCAGUUUUUUGCCUAUAGCUAAUUUUUUUUGGCCAUGUCUAACAUACAGCAUCUCCUUAGAAAUCCAUCUUCCGUAAGCAGGAUUAUUACAGAAAAAUAGAAGUGUGUUGGGAUGCCAGGAGGGGAGAAUAUAAUCUCACCUUUUUCUUUUAUCCUAACAGACAGCCUCAGUGGGCUAAUAGCCAAGAGGGUCGAGGUAUUAAAGCACCCUGCACAGACCACAGCAGAUGGAAAAGAUCUGAGUUGGGCAAAAUGAUCGUUGCUGAAAGUUGCACUGUUACGUGAAACCAUUACAGGAGAGCAGAGCACCAGGAAAGGAGCAUCUUGCCUAUUGGACACAUUUUUGUGAUACUACAAAGGAAUUACUUGCGGUGUCAGUGAUGUAGAUUGCUUCUAGCACUCAAGAAAACCUUCCUUCUCAAAUGAGGGUUGGUCCUGUGGGUCACUCUUAGGAGAAUAUCUAAAAUCAGGCUAUUCUGCUGGACUCAGAGCAGCAGUCAGUGCUGUAGUUGGAAGAAGGCUGAGAACAUGUAGGAAUGGAAGCCCCAAGGGGCUUUGGCUGGGCAGCCAAAGGAAACCCAUCCCACUGCUGCCCUGUGCUUUCCAAGUAGUUUGGAAAGAUCUAACAUGAUGGAGCUGCAGAGCACCACCUGAGCUUUUGGUGGAGAAAAAGUCUCUAGGAUCCUCUCACCAGCUGUGAUUCAAAUAGACAGUAGGCAGGAGGAAGGUCAUACACGGGUUUUAUAGGUUUAGGAAUCUUUCAGCAUUAUCAAGCCAACUGCAUUACUUCAUGGAAUGAUUGGUCUUGUAUUCAUCAGAUGAAUGCUAAUAUUCAUAAACUUCUUCCUAGUCACUUUUAUUAUAGAAUAUGAUGAAAAUAAUAAAUACAUCAAAGGAACUUCCAGGACAUCAUUUGGGCUCCACGACUGACUCACUCUGCAACCUUGGGGGGUUUGUUUAGAAACCAGAUGCAGAGGAGCGCGGCGUCGCCACACAUGGCAGGGCAACAGCAUCCUGCUCCUUAGUGCUGCAAUGGGGAGCAACCUCGCACAGCCCGUGUCAGCACACCAGUGAGCUGAGGUUCUUAGUAAGACAUCCCAGGACCAUAUCUUUAAUGGAGAAUUAGCCUUCCUGUAGUCUCUGCCUGCCUCAGAACACCAAUGCUGCAAGCUGGGAACUGACAGCUGGAUCUGCAGGACACCAACUGCAUCUCUCUGCUCCUGAGACUUGGGGAGAGCCUUCAGGGCUGUGAUAAAGUAGAUGCAACUGAGGUGACCACCUGAUCUUUAAUCUUCUUGGUGAGUAAUUACCAAACUCAGAACAUCUGCACCAUGCAGGCACCAGUGGCUUUUUGCUGUAACAUCCCUUGGGAUGAGAGAUGAUGGCAUUGAGUUGGUCCAGGAAGGCUCAUAGACCUCAACAGUCUCCUUCAGCAUGACUCUGGGGUAAUGAAGAAACAGAAGUUGUGCAUCAGCAGGCUCCUGCACUGUUUGUCCCAUCUGCAAGCCCAGGCUCCUCCUGUCAUGUCUGGGAUGGCUGCAUCUGUGAAGAGUGCAUGGGACCACAAUCAGCCACGAUUCUCAUGUUGGGAUGCUCACAUUCAAGGUGAAGCUGAGGCCUGCAGGAAAUGGUAAUAAUGUGAGAUUCCAGCUGGAAGAAGCUUUCUUGCAGGUGAGUCUGGCAAGAGGCUCAGCGAGCAGCUGGAAGGAGACCAAGAGGAAAAGCAGAAGUGGGCAGGCUCCUGGAAGGCUGGGAAAGUGUUGGUUCAUCCAGUGCCACAGCCUCUGAGAAAGGAACUGAAAAAGAAUCUGACUACUUAGAAUCACAAUAGUGUUGAUGGACAUGUUCAUCUGUCAUAUUAAGGCUCCUCAUCAUCCCACAUUCAAUUCUUGGCCAGAUCCAGCAAAGGACAGAGGCAUCUGUGAGAAGAAUUUCAAUAGAAUUCCAGAGAAUUACAAUGGAAUUACACAACAGCACGGAAAAUUUAUUUCUUGUUGACAUGAAGAGUCUGUUUUUUGUUUUCCCACACUGCUGGAGGAUGGUAGCAGAAACAUUAAUGGAUGUGGAUCAGCAACAUCGCUCACAGACUGGGAGAGGAGGAAGAAUAUCCUGCCCUUUACCACUGAAGCUUAAUACCAACUUACAGACCAAUCCAUGGCACUCAUAUUCCUGUCAGCAGAUGUGGAUUUUCCAGCAGCAAAUAAGCCACUAAUGGUACAAAGUCUUUCUCAACAUGGUGUAACACUUGACCAACCCAGGCCAAAAAAUGAAGUCAACUCAUGCAUGUUACUGUAUCACAUCAGGCCAAAGAGCUUUGUCCUUCUGUCACCUAGCAAGGACUGUGUAUGGGGGACUCUUGUGUGUAUGUGUUACAAACCACUGCUGGUCACAUUAACAGAAUAAGAAACCAGAAACAUAAUGGAGGUCAAGUAUGAAGUGUUGUGAGCCUCCAAAUGUAGAGGUCAGGCAUACAAUGAAAACAACAAAACAAAAUUGUAAUGCUAGUUGCAAGCUGCGUGGAUAAUCAAUACCAGAAUGUGAUUCCUUUUAAUCAGGGGUUAUUUUAGAUGGCAUCAGAGGGGAAAAAAAAAAUUAAGUCUAAAUUUGCUAAUUGGGAAGUUGAAAUCCAUGGCUGACAGCAGGCUCCCAGGAAAGAAGUAGGUUGCAUGCAGUAAGAGUAGUGUUCAGCAACAAGGUCACAGCAGUUAGAUCACCAGUGAGAUAGAAGUCCACACUAAGGUAAUUCUUGUGAAUUCUUUUAUAUGCUCGAAGCAGAACAAGGAUAUUGAAGUGUCCUAUCUGGAGGAUUCUCUCCGUGGCACAGCACUCAUAAAUGAAAGCUCUCUGAUCUCAGCCUCUGAAUUGAACCAACAGCUAUCCUAGGCCUAGUAAGAUGGAAAGGCAGCUAUUUCCCAGAACUUGAAUGAUAUCCCCCUCAAAAAGUAUUUGAGCAACUGUUCUUUUGCAUUAAACUGUCCUCAGCUGAGGUGAGGUGGGUUAUUGUCAUAGUAGUGUGUGUGUGUGUGUGUAUUUUUUUUACCUAAGUUUUUUGAUGUCUCUGAGUUGCCUCUUGCCUCAGCACAUCCUUUGCAGCAGGCAGGGUGCUGGGUGAGCCAUUGGGCUGCAGUGUUCAGUCAUGCUGUUUUUCUCUACUCGCUGUGGAUGCUGUCAGUUGGCACGUGGAGGCUCUCUGUUGAUGAAUGAGUGCUGUGAAGCAGAUGGGAUGGAAACAGAGAUGUUAUUGACAUUCAGUCAGACCCCAGUGAGCAGCUUUUUGGCACCAAUGGGCUGAGACAUGCCCACUUUUUAAAAGCUGGUCUUUUUUCAUUGACAUGACCCCGUGUGACAGCUCCCUCUCCUGAGAUUUCUUCUGAUUUGAUUUAUGGAGUCUGAAUUUCAGCUGCAUGCUACUUGGGGCACAGACCGAUGUGAUGCUCCAUGUGAGGUGCCCAGACAAAACAACAGAUUUAAAAUGUCAUCCAGCAGCCCCAGAAAGACUUGUCAGAGCUGGAGGGGACAGAUUCAUUGCUUGCAGGCAAGGGGAAAUGAGGAAAUGCAGGAGUUGUGCUGUAGGAAAAUCUCCCCCUAAACUGCUUUCUCCCAUGUACGAUUGCCUAUGCUGAGCCUAUUCAAGGAGUCUUUGGGAAAUACCUAAGAGGAUUUUUCCUUUCAGAUUAAGUGAUUUCUGGAUGAUUUUACCCACAGCACAUCAGCAGGGGGUGAGUUUAGCUGCACUUUGCCUGCACCAGUGAAAGAGAGGCUCAUUCUUUUGAAAAUCAUCCACUAAAUUAAUGAAGACGUGAAUGUACAUUAGGCUGAACCUAUUUAGCUUAUUAAAGGCUCCUCUCUCAGAUCAUUUCCUUCUGUGUGUCUUUACAUCGCAGGCUCUUCUGUUUGUAAUUUCCAAAGUUAGGGAGGAAAAAAAAAAAGAUUGUAUUUUUUAAGAGGUUAUUCUCAGCUUUCAGCAGUCAGAAACUGUAUGUACAGUAGUCAGCCUGAAAUCCCAUAGGAAGAUGGAAGACCUCGCUGUGCUCAGUUAAUGCAGUAAUGAUGACUGUUGCUCUCUGCUCAAACAUAACUUGAGGUGAGUGCCACGAUUAACAAGGAGUAAGAACCUAAAUGAAAUGUCAAUUUCUGUUUUGUUGUGUUGAAUGAAUUACCAGGACCUUCAUGAUCUGAAACUUUGGCUAGGAUCAUUCUGCUCUCCUGGGGAAAAUAAAAUGUUUGGUCAGUGCCAGUUCCUUUGACUCCCAUUGUUUUCACUGGCUUUGGGAACAGAUCCUUAUUUUUGCUUUAAUUCUCUUUUUCACCCUUAUAGCUAAUGAAUAGAGUGAUGCAAGAAAUCUGCAAGGCAGUAUUGAAGGGAUGCUGCACUGAAGGAAAACAAGGAAGCUACUAAGAUUACAAGAAACUCAUUUUUUGAGGAUGGAAUGGGAAAAUAUUCUAUGAGAAUGUUGUCUUUGUGAAAGCUAAUUUGAGUGAUCUGGGUAUGGGAAGCUGAGGGUGGGGAGGUAGCGUGGGCCAUGAGUGCUCUUUUUCUUCACCUAUCUAUAGAUACUCACCUUUUCUGCUGCUACAGGGCUGAGAUUCCCAAGUACUUUCAUCAAGAUUUUGUGCUGCUCAAACCUAUUGCUCUGGUCAGAAAGACAAUGGCUCCUUCACUGCAGAGCCCAGAACUCCACUUAAGAUAUCAUGAUAUAUCGUUUAUGAAUCUGUAGAUAGCCCAGGAAUUAGGCCCCUUCCAACUGUUCCCAUUGACGUGAUGACAAAGUAUGACGUUCUUUUGCAUUCCUUAAGUACCUGCUGUACAUUUGUUGAGUAGAAUUAAAAAAGAGCUCUCCAGGCCUAUACGUGAUGAUGGGUGUCAAACAGCCUUGCUAGCACCCUGACUACCUGCAGUGUGGAGAAGUGGGAGCCUUCCUAAUUCUGCUCCCAGCUCCUCGCCUGCAGCAGCCCAUAUGGAACAGGAGAGCCAGGAGCUGGGCGCCUACUGCAGCUGCAGAGAAAGGCCUUUGCCUGCUCUGGAUGUCAUCUACAGUAUUUUGUAUUAAGGGAUCUUGCUUUGAUAACUUUUUACUUGUUUUUCCAUUUUUUUUUCUUUUUUUUUUCUCCCCAGCUACACUUCUGUCAAAUCCCAGUUUCCAUAUGAGGGUUUGCACCAAGUUGAGUGAAAGCACUAAGAUAAUCUAUUUGUAACAAAAUACUUUUCCUUUGCUUAAUAAACUUAGUGCUUCCCUGUAAAAACAAGCUCUUUAAUUACUCAGGUGUGGCUACUCACCGUAUUAAAUCACCACACUACCUCCUUAGCGUAGUAAUACAGUUCUUUACAAUUUCAUUUUAGAAUCACUCUUCUGUUGCUGACAUUUAAUUUUGCACAGGAGUAACACUAUCGUAAAAGAGCCCAGGUGCAAAAAUAUUAUGUUUUUAGCAUUGAUGUACUGUGCAUUACUAUUAAAAACUAGAAAAACUAUCAGUGCUGCUCCAUAUCAACUGGGAUUACUUAGCUUAAAUGUUUAAGAGGAACCAUUUAAGAGCUCUGUUGCAGUACAGGUGUCUGUGCACCUCUUCUACACCUGGCCAUUUGAUGAUACACUUUCAUAUGUGAGAUUUCAAACUUUCUCACAGGUAAAUAUAUAUUUUUUAAUGUUUCUGCUCAAAGUUGCAAACAAAGUUUUUUCAGUAGGGAAGAGGAAGAAUGAGUUGCAUGUUGAGUGAAUGCUAUUUUGUCAGGUUUGUAUCCAUAGUUUUUGGAUGAUGUUUUGGCUUCCUUAGGCUCUUCUAACAGUAGCAAUUACAACUGCAGUGGCUUGCAGUUCUUCUGUCUUCGUUUCUUGUGGUAGUGACUCUUUAUAAUAGAACUAGAAAGACCUUGAGUUUAACUGAAACCUGCAGCAAGAUGUGCUAGAAUUAAUCUUUCCAACCUUUGACAGUACAGUUUAAUAAUCAAGUAACCAGUAGCUAAGUGGUUAGGCAUAUACUUUCACACAUGGAGAAACCAUAACCUCCAGAGAAUGGUUCGUGUCAUUCUGAUGUAGAUUUUUUUAUAGAGUAGAAAACACCUUCAAUAAGGCUGCAAUGGGAGCACUGCGCUGCCAUACAACCAAAGCUCCAUUCCUCAGGCAGAAAAGUUGGAGAUAAAGAGGAGAAGCAGCAGUUUUCUGUCCUUUGCCAUUUGUCCAGAGCUCUGUUGCUUCCAGGUUUCUCUUUCAUCUCUUUUCUGUUGGCCUUGUAGCACAUCUGGAUCUCUGAGAUUUCUCUUCAUGUAAAUAUUGCCCUUAUUUUUUUCUCCUCGAUUUCUCUCAGAAAGUUUCUGCAUGUUCUUAUCUGCAGCUCCAAUCUCUGUUUGCUGCUCUUACUCUUGAGCUGCAAGUGGUUUGCAUGGUGGUUUCUCCUGUUGUGUUUUUAUCGGGCAUCCUCCAGUAACAAUCCUGCAUUCACCCUGUUUUGCCCAAGGUUCUGUUUACCUUCUCUAUCUGCUCUGGUCCUCAUGUUUUAAGGCUGUUGGAUUUCUCAUAAUUGCAAGGUUUGGGCCUCUUUCAAAUGAUUGGUUUUUUAUCUAACCGAGUGUACAUUUCUCUUUCCUCCUUUCAUUGGACUGUUCAUUUUUAAAACUCUUUUAAUCAAAUGAAAGGAAUUAAAAAUGAGGAGGGAAAACCCAAGAAUUUAAAUUCCAGUCUUUUUUUCUACCACAAAGAACCAAGAAUUCUUUCUAUUUAAGACAGUCACAGAUUUUUAUCAUUGUGACUGGUUUGCAUUAACUUUGUAAGUAGAAAGACAUUUAGCAAAGUUGAAAGCUGUCUCUUAUGUGAUGACAGACUUUGCCUGUUUUAGUAUUUUUACUGGUUAACUACCAAAUCCUGAGUCUACUGCUGUCUAUGGCCAACAUUUAGUGUUCACUAAAAGAAACAUGACUUAGAAAUAUAUCUUCCACACUAAGCUUUUGAAAACACACAGUAUUUUGAGUUAUAGAAACAACAGUUUUAAUACAUGAAAAGAUCUGUUACCACAAGGCCUUGAGAGAAAGAAACAGCAGAAAAGCGUGCAAAGGGUCAGGAAGAAAGCAUGAUAUGUAGUCAGCUGCUUCAUCUAUAUACAAGACAACCUAAUUAGUACUCAUGCAUGCAACUAAAGCAUCAUGAACUGGUUAUAUGGAUCAACAAACUGGUUAAACUAACAAUGGCACUAUGUUGGGAUGCAGUAACACCAAGUGGGAUUUUGUUUCUGGAAGUCAGGGCUCAGUUGAUGCCUGUUGAAACCCUAUAGGGUUUGCCAUCACUGCAGCACCAUAGCCUAUUUAGCAUUCAACAAAAGUCUCAGCUGGACUUUCCCAUUUCAAGUCACACAAGUCAGGUUUGGGUAGAUGACUGAGGGGAGAGAAAAGCUCCUCCAGUGUUCCAAUUCUUAUCUGUCUGGAUUUUUCUUUUUGCAGUUUCUUGGGAGGGGUUUUCUAAUACAAAAGUUCUCUGAUGUCCUUCUACGCUGCUGCUUCCUUUUUUACCUGACCUUGUAGGAUCAUCGAAUGUCCUGAGCUGGAAGGGACCCACAGUGAUCUUUGGGUCCAACUCCUGGCUCCACCCAGGACUGACCAAACAUCAGACCAUAUGACAGAGCUUCUUGAUGCUUCUUGAACUCCAGCAGCUUGAUGGCAUGGCUGCUGCCCCAGAGAGCCUGUUCCCAGAAAGGCUCCAAUAUUAAAGUUGAAAACACUUAUAGUGGGGCCCAUAGAUCAAACUCUAUUAAAUUCCAAAGGAACCUCAUUCACUGGAGUAGCUGUCUUAGAAGGCAACACAGGGUCUUACCUUGAGUUGUACCUCAUAUUCACUCUUGAGACUUUCCAAAGUCACCUGGAAGGCUGGGGACCUGCUGGUAGGCACCAAGCACAUCCUCAGGCUGCUGCUCACCAUCUUGGGCUGCCCUUGAGGCUCUGGGCUGAGGACUCUAAGAUGGGUUGGUCAAACCUAAUGUUAUUCAACCUCUCCUGCUCUAUAAGACCGCAACUUUGGCUUUCAGUCUUCUCUCUUGCUUCUACUCAGAUACAACUGUUACUAAUUGCACUCUUAGUUUAUUGUUGGAGAAAGCUUUCCCUAUUUAAUCGUUAGAAACAGGGAAUCUGUAAUGUAUUCAAAACUGCGAAAACUUAAUCCUGGUUAAUUUUUUACUCUCUGAGAAAAGUCAUUAUGACUGAUCUAUUCUUUCAAUCAAGUACACCCAUUUCGUUUAUUUUUAACAUUCCUUUCAUUAUGUUAUGAGCUUCUUAAGGAUAAUGGAAUAAUUGCUUGUCUCUUUGAUUGAUCUUUGUUUUGAAUGGAAACUUUAAUAGUGUUAUUUCUAGAGCAGGCUUACGGUAUAAUACAAUUAAAGGAAUACAUGACACUAAAACACUUUAAAGCACAUGUUCCAAUAAUUAGACCUACAAUCCUCGUCAGCCAGAGGACCAGGCAGGGAGGAGUUCCUGUUACAAAUUAUGAGGAAAGGAUUCGUGUUAUUUUGCUUAAUAAAGCAAAAAAAAUUAGUAAUGACAUUUAUUAAUAGCUGUAGCGAUCUGUGAACAAACUCCUUCUCCAGGCUGCUCUGGAAAGGCAUUCUCAUGCUACAGAGAAUCCCAAAUUCUGGUAUUUUACUUUUUAACACUAAAACAUGCCAGAAGUAUGGUAACUUGGGUUCUAAGUUCAUCCUGCGUGAAAGAUUUUGAGGUUCCUCACAUCUGAAAAUAUACAGUCCUCCUGGAUCUCCUUCUGCUGAAGACCCCUUCCAGCUGUUCCCUGACCUCUCAGCACCCCUGGUUCCCUGUCAUCAGGACCAGCACCUGGCCAAGAGCAUGGCUUCCUCUGCACUGCCUGAGUGCAAAGUGGAAGCUGACAAACUGCACAGAUUUGCAGGAAAAUUCCGGAGUGCUCCGAAAGUGAUGCCUCCUAUUUUAUUAUGUUGGCCCAUGAUAUCAGAGGCAGAUGACGGCAGUACAGCAGAGAAGGCUGAACCUCCCCAUCAAUAUUAAUUACAUUUUGUUGCUGUGUGAUGGCAGCAGAGGGCAGUCUGUCACAAUGACAUCUGACAUGUAGAAUCAUCUCACGGCAGGAGCCAUGUCCCCGUGCUGGACUCCCUCAUUUUGUAGAUGAUUUUGGUUUUAAAUUUUGGUUUUUUGGGAGAUUUUUUUAACCUGAAUUCCCAAUGACAAGACUGAGAUCCCAGGUAAUCACAUUAUUCAGUUUGUCUUGGUUUGUUUCAUUUUGGUUUUGCCCAGUUGCAAUUGUACUCGAUUUAAAUACUUGGGCUUUGGUAGAGAAGGAUAGAAGGGUGGAAUUUUUUUACUUCUUUGAAUUCUAAGCUCAAUCAUUUUUUCCUUAUUCAAGAUCAGGGCAUUAGGAAAUACUACUUCUCUGAAAGGGUGGUCAGGCACUGGAAUGGGCUGCCCAGAGAGGUGGUGGAGUCACCGACCCUGGUGGUGUUCAAAGAGCGUUUGGAUAUUGUGUUGAGGGACAUGGUUUAGUGGGAACCAUUGGUGAAGGGCGAAUGGUUGGACUGGAUGAUCCUGUGGGUCUUUUCCAACCUUAGCGAUUCUAUGAUUCUAUGAUCAGUGAGAUCACUUAGAGGCUCAUCAGCUUCAUUGGACUUCGCUGGGAACACAGCCUGUCUUCUGACAUGGAGGAAGGGAGAAGCAAGCUGGGGUGCUUGGGAUGCUCUGUGAGGAAGGAAAGGCAUUGUGGUGGCUCUUUCCAGGUGCUGAGUUUGUUUCCCAAGGAACCGAGCUGGAUCACCCAAUAGCUGCUACAUGGCAAAAUCAUUCAUUUUUAAUUCUAUGUGAUACCAGCAUCGUUAUAUUGUGUAUAGCCCAAUCCCCAGAUGGAAUGCAAUCAUGUUGUAGCUCAUUUUUAUAUCAGAUGAGGAUUCACUAGAGAUAAGACUCUUUAGCAUCCACCCACACGUGGUACUAACAGCGAGGAACCUGUUUCACAAUGUCUUACAGCAUGGUGCAGUAACUUGAGAAGAACAGUGAACUUAAGUGAACCUUGAGAACCUAGGUGAACAGGGGAGAUCUAGUUAAUACUCUGUACUUUUCCAAGCUGGAAUUAUGGCUUUUAACAUCUCUGUUCUUGAGAGGCUGGGCAGCUGGCUGAAGCUGGCCAGCAUUACUUUUGAAGUAUGGAUCUUCUAUUCCUAUCAGACAAGUCAAGGCUACAGGCACAUCUAACAAGCAACUCAAGCCUGGAACUAUCUGGAUUUCUAAGUUCAUGAUGGAAAAGGGUAUUGUCCUUGUUUUUCAGGAUGCUUAUAAGCCUACGUUAGUAAACACAGAUGAUGGCAAUUAAGGCUUUGGGAGAAUCUUGGCAUGUUGGAACUGACCGCUUUUCUGAUUGAGAACUGAGAUAGUGGGAGAACCCUUUAUCCCCUGGUUGAGUAAGAACAUCUUGAAUCUGUUUAUGUGUGUAUGAAAAAAAUUAAUUAAACCUCUACGGGCCGGAUUCCUCAAGGAUGAUAAAUGCUCAGCUGGCUUUAGGAUCCUGCACAAAAGUAUGAGUUAACCUGGUGAGCUUUUGGAUUUCAGAUGAAACUGAGGGGCAAGGCUAUGCGGCACACACAGUGAAACGUCACCACUAGGAGGUCACAUUCUUUCCAUGUACAGAGCUGGCGAAAGCACCCAGUUGGGUGCUUUCUGCUUUGUGUUAUUAAUAAAUUCAACAAAUGUUACCCCUCUUGUGCACUGAUUUGAUGUCCCAGCACUCACCCAUCCACGUUCCCUGGAGAAUGGGAGCUGAGGAAGGACCCUCAGCUUAAUGGAGACACAGUGUUGUUCAAGUUUUGAGUUGCUUGAAUGAUUUGUGUUUUCUCUCUCAUCGCACCAUUCCCUAUAGAGCAAGAUGCUGAUGAUAGUUAUUUCCUAGAGGCAGGAUUCAAAUGCCUUUCCCCAGGGAGAGCUGAACCUGCAUCUCCCACAUCUUGGCUGAGUGCCUUAAGUACUUGGUAAAAGAUCUGGAUAUCCUCUUCAGUGCUGUAAACCUGGGCCAAAAAUAGUUUUCAGCUGCAACUACAUGACUAAUUUGACCUGAGACUACUUUUGUGGGGCAAAUGUUUUAUUCACAGAAGAAAAAUACUUGCCCUCCCCUAUGAAGAAGAUAGAAGGGAGAAAGCUGUGCGACAGGAAAUGAGUCAUAAGAUCUUAUAGACAACGUUAGGACUUGACACUAAUACACAGCACCUUUUCCCAAGCUACAGUUGAAAAACUCAGAGUUCUCCUCCCCAUCUCCUCUCACACAUAACUACGUCGAUGCUUACAUGUUGGUUUUCAGGAUAUCUCAAAGUCAUUACCAUACUUCCGGAAAACAAAGUGAGGUAAUGAUUAUGUACAUUUUAUAGCUGCAAACCCAGAGAGACGGUGCAGGUACAUGUCUGAAAUACACAAUGUCCUUCCAAAAAAAACCAUCACCAAAAUAUGUAAAAUAUUUUGCUUCCUACUCCUAUGUAUCACAACAACAGCUUAUGGGUGGUGUGGGGGUUGGGAAAGAGGAACAGAGCUUAAACUACCACUUUGGAACACCAAUUUCUCAGUUUGUUUCUGCUACAUCGAUGCAUUCAUAGUUUCACAUCACGAGCUGAGAAGUUUGCAAAGCACUUUGUUCUGUGCUGCUUCGGUGGGUGGAAGUACUGGUUCUAGGUUUUAAAAGGCAUUUCAAGUUAGGCUCCAGACAUGAAUAAAUAAUCCAAUUUUCACAUUUGCUAUUCAGCAGCUUCUCAUAGCAUAUGUAGUUGCAGCUGCAGGGCCAACAUUUUUGUAAGUCAGGAUACUUACUCAGGGACUUGAAUGCAGGCUUGAGAUGAGGAUUUGCAAAGGGAGCUAGGUGCCCAGUUUCUAUUGAGAAAAGAUUUAGGGGCUUCACGAGCAUAACUUAUAGGUGUCCAUUAGGAAAAUCUCAGCUUUGCUGUAAAUGCCUCUGGAUUCCUUAGAUUUCAUUCAUUUGGCAGCCAGGCACCUAGCUCUUUUGUACAAUCUGAAAGAAAUUUGCAGAGUUCUGUAUAACUUCUGUAGUCUUUCUCUGGAAAAUGAAUAAAUCAUUCAAAUGGAAAUACUGAAAUAGCUGGGCACGUAUCCAGAUACAGUAUGCCUAGCUUAGUGGCAAAAACUUACGGCACACAUCCUGUAUUGUCAAGGACACUGAAUGUUUUGGCUGCCCUAAUAGAAAAACAAUAAUUCAAUCAUGUAUUAUAAAGGAAUUUCCUGGAGACGUUUGGCUUUGCUCAAUCACCCUACUAGAUUUGUUCUUAAUGUGGAAGAAUGGCCCGUUACAUUCAUUACAUACAUUAGACCGGCUAUGUUUAUUUCUAGAUGGGUUUCCUUAAGGUUGUUGAAGUGCCUAACAAAUACAUUCUGAAGAUGCCUUUAUACGUAAUAACAACAGCACUGCCUUGCACCACUGCAUGCUCAGUAAUUGUUUCUCACAGUGGAGGGGCACAUCUAACACAACUAGCUGUGAGUACUUCAUAAAUCAACAAUAACAGACCCACGGGGCGAGGAUCAUUGUUUCGUUUUGCUGACAGGGACCCACAAUACAUUGGAUAUUACGCAGAGACAAGAGAGGAUGUGUGAGAAGAUAGUUAUGCUAAUAGACACUACUUCCCCCCUUCCCCUCUGGAAGGGAACAUUCCCUUAACAUUACACAAGUCGAUGUGUCCUCAGCUGUUCC